rnacentral:rRNA from 1 species
AUUCGAUGAUACGCGAGGUACUUUACCCGUGCUUGUACGUAAGACGAAUAUAUAAGAGAUUAUAUAGCCUUCGGGCGUCUUGCGAGGUGCUGCAUGGUUGUCGUCAGCUCGUGCCGUGAGGUGUUAGGUUAAGUCCUGCAACGAGCGCAACCCUUACACUUAGUUGCCAGCACGUUAUGGUGGGGACUCUAAGUGAACUGCCUACGCAAGUAGAGAGGAAGGUGGGGAUGACGUCAAAUCAGCACGGCCCUUAUGUCCGGGGCUACACACGUGCUACAAUGGUAUGUACAGAGGGCAGCCACCUGGCGACAGGGAGCUAAUCCUCAAAGCAUAUCUCAGUUCGGAUUGGAGUCUGUAACUCGACUCUAUGAAGUUGGAUUCGCUAGUAAUCGCGCAUCAGCCAUGGCGCGGUGAAUACGUUCCCGGGCCUUGUACACACCGCCCGUCAAGCCAUGGAAGCCUGUGGUACCUAAAGUCCGUGCCCGCAAGGAGCGGCCUAGGGUAAAACCGGUAACUGGGGCU